rnacentral:rRNA from 1 species
UACGUAGGGGGCAAGCGUUGUCCGGAAUUACUGGGCGUAAAGAGCUCGUAGGUGGUUUGUCGCGUUGUUCGUGAAAACUCACAGCUUAACUGUGGGCGUGCGGGCGAUACGGGCAGACUGGAGUACUGCAGGGGAGACUGGAAUUCCUGGUGUAGCGGUGGAAUGCGCAGAUAUCAGGAGGAACACCGGUGGCGAAGGGCGGGUCUCUGGGCAGUAACUGACGCUGAGGAGCGAAAGCGUGGGGAGCAACAGG